CCUACGGGAGGCAGCAGUAGGGAAUAUUGCUCAAUGGGGGAAACCCUGAAGCAGCAACGCCGCGUGGAGGAUGAAGGUUUUCGGAUUGUAAACUCCUUUUGUUAGAGAAGAUAAUGACGGUAUCUAACGAAUAAGAACCGGCUAACUCCGUGCCAGCAGCCGCGGUAAUACGGAGGGUGCAAGCGUUACUCGGAUUCACUGGGCGUAAAGAGCGCGUAGGCGGGAUAGCAAGUCAGAUGUGAAAUCCUAGGGCUUAACCAUAGAACUGCAUUUGAAACUGUUAUUCUAGAGUAUGGGAGAGGUAGGUGGAAUUCUUGGUGUAGGGGUAAAAUCCGUAGAGAUCAAGAGGAAUACUCAUUGCGAAGGCGACCUGCUAGAACAUAACUGACGCUGAUGCGCGAAAGCGUGGGGAGCAAACAGGAUUAGAUACCCCGGUAGUC
rnacentral:rRNA from 1 species